AGUGAACGCUGGCGGUAGGCCUAACACAUGCAAGUCGAACGGCAGCACAGUAAGAGCUUGCUCUUACGGGUGGCGAGUGGCGGACGGGUGAGGAAUACAUCGGAAUCUACUUUUUCGUGGGGGCUAACGUAGGGAAACUUACGCUAAUACCGCAUACGACCUACGGGUGAAAGCAGGGGAUCUUCGGACCUUGCGCGAUUGUAUGAGCCGAUGUCGGAUUAGCUAGUUGGCGGGGUAAGGGCCCACCAAGGCGACGAUCCGUAGCUGGUCUGAGAGGAUGAUCAGCCACACUGGAACUGAGACACGGUCCAGACUCCUACGGGAGGCAGCAGUGGGGAAUAUUGGACAAUGGGCGCAAGCCUGAUCCAGCCAUACCGCGUGGGUGAAGAAGGCCUUCGGGUUGUAGAGCCCUUUUGUUGGGAAAGAAAAGCAGCAGGUUAAUACCCCGCUGUUCUGACGGUACCCAAAGAAUAAGCACCGGCUAACUUCGUG
rnacentral:rRNA from 1 species